GAUUAACGCUGGCGGCGUGCCUAACACAUGCAAGUCGAGCGGCAGCGAGUUUUACACUGAAUUCUGGAAGCUUCUAGUUGAAAGAGAAGAGUUAUUCAAGAAUUUUGUGUAAAAUGUCGGCGAGCGGCGGACGGCUGAGUAACGCGUGGGAACGUACCCCAAAGUGAGGGAUAACGCAUCGAAAGGUGUGCUAAUACCGCAUAUGGUCUUCGGAUUAAAGCCUUCGGGCGCUUUGGGAACGGCCUGCGUAAGAUUAGAUAGUUGGUGGGGUAAUGGCCUACCAAGUCGACGAUCUUUAACGGGUUUGAGAGGAUGAUCAGUCAGACUGGAACUGAGACACGGUCCAGACUCCUACGGGAGGCAGCAGUGAGGAAUCUUCCACAAUGGGCGAAAGCCUGAUGGAGCAACGCCGCGUGCAGGAUGAAGGCCUUCGGGUUGUAAACUGCUUUUAUAAGUGAGGAUUAUGACAGUAACUUAUGAAUAAGGAUCGGCUAACUACGUG
rnacentral:rRNA from 1 species